GCCUUUAUAACUCAAUGGUAGAGUAUUUCCUUGGUAAGGAAAAAGCUAUGGGUUCAAUUCCCAUUAAAGGCU
rnacentral:tRNA from 3 species